rnacentral:lncRNA from 1 species
UUUUUCUUUUUUUCCAGAGCUGGGGACCGAACCCAGGGCCUUGCGCUUUAGGCAAGCGCUCUACCACUGAGCUAAAUCCCCAACCCCGUCUGUUUUCUUUAGAAAGCCAAAUAAUAAUAAUUAGCUUACCAAGUGUGGUGGCGCACACCUUUAAUCCCAGCACUAGGGUGGCAAAGGCAAGCAAAUCUCUGUGAAUUUUGUUUUGUUACUUAAAAUGG